AGGUGAGUUAGAUAUCGUAUCCUUCCGCUUAAUGGUAAUGAUAUGUAAUCUAGCUUACAG
rnacentral:pre_miRNA from 13 species